rfam:Aedes aegypti strain Liverpool supercont1.472 genomic scaffold, whole genome shotgun sequence.
CCUCUCAUGGCGUAGUGGUUGACGCGCCCCAACUAGAGAUCGGGGAGUCGUGAGUUCGAUUCUCACUGAGAAGA